UUAUAAGAGUUGUCAUUGUUGGAAAU
rnacentral:piRNA from 2 species